GAUGACUGCAACCAGACCUGAAAAGCUACAUGGAUGGUUGUCUCUCCUCUUGUCCCAUUUUUGUGUCCUCACUACCACCAAAUCAUAUGACUGGUAUCACCAAAGAAUCCUAUCAUGAGCUAGGCCUUGGCAUAUUUAACUGUCUUCACCUCAUCACCUUCAAGUGAAACACCCAUAAAAGAAAAGAGAUGAAGUAACCAAAGCUUGUGAUUUUUUGGAGGCCAAGAAUGGUUGAUCAGGUUAUGGUGUUGAAGAACUACAAUCAAACGUAAGCUAUGAUGAAAGCUAGCUUGAAGCCAACAGGAAUGAGGUAGUGAAGGUUCAACCUCAUCGCCCAAGAAUAAAGAAAAAAGCCCUCCAUUGACUGGUAUAAAUACACGUUUGUGAGGAGGAGCAAAGAGACAGGGAGAAAAUUCUGUGAAGCUAAAGAUAGGAGCCCUCCUUUUUUGUUUCAUCUAGUGGUCUGUAGCUUUCCGACACUCUGGACCACAACAUAAGUUUGGAUCAAGACUUUCUCUCAAGGCUUGGCAUUGCUGGGACUACAACAAGAAAUGAAAGAAAAAGCUUCAGCAGGGGCAUGGCUAAGUGUUAGAAACACUGGCUCUCAAUUCAAUGUGUGUCCUAAAAAGCAUUAGUUCAUGACUCAUACACACUAUGGCCGGUCUUAUGAGUGCAUCAAAGGUUAAGGAUAUUUCAUAGUAGAGUAUGAAAUCUGAAAGAGUAUUGUGGUGGAAUGUAUUUAAUCAUCUUCAACCAGGUUGAUGAUGCAUUUUGAUGUCAACAGGUAAACUAUACUAAACUAUUCUCAUCAGUUUGAGCAUGCUAGGUGGUUAGCUACCUCAUCCUUGUCUAUAUCACAUCUAAGCAACAAUAUCAAAUUCAAAGAAGAAUUAUUUAAUGUGGACUGUAGGAGUUCUGUUGUUCAAUCCUGAAAAAGACUCUUGUUGGAAAGAAUACCAAUACAAAUUGUUCUCUCCCAUUUGAUCUUUUGGAAGGUCCACUGUCUACUGCCCAUAUUUAAUGUAAAGAAACUUGGAGCUGGAAUGUGACACAGAAAGGUAUGGCUAGUUCUAAGAACCUACCAGGGAAGGUAUGAACUCUGCAGAUAUGAGCAGCAAAUCACAUGGUGCAGGGAGAAACAGAGUGUGUCAUGCAGGCUUGUUUUGAGUGCAAAAAGGCUGGACAAACAUCAAGGUUGUUCUUUUAUGAUGGCAAGUAAAUCUAUGAAAAGAGAUGAUCAUAGUUCACCACCCACUUCUUCUCUUCUUCACCAGAACUCUGAGCAGGAUCUAUUAUUGCCAUCGUUUGGAUUUGACGGUGUGAUCUACAACUAGAUCUACAUCUCGGCAGCCAUGGAAAGCCAGAUGCCCUUUCCGCAAGAAGGUAGCACCAACCAAAUGCAACACACUGCUGUGGCUGAGGCUGAGGGGUUCCCCUGUCUCACCUCAUGAUGCCGGUUCCCGAGCUCCACCUGCAGCCUCCUAAUGAUGUUAUCUCCCACGAACACCAUGUUGUCAUAUUGCUGCCAUCAAUGGGAUUGCCAGUCGAAGGGCCCCAUCGGUCUAUCCACCAACGAUACAAUCCGUGCACCUAUAAUAGCAGAGCAACCUGGUCUUCUGGCCUUUCUAAGA